UACGGAGGGUGCAAGCGUUAAUCGGAAUUACUGGGCGUAAAGCGCACGCAGGUGGCUGAGUCAGUCGAUUGUGAAAGCCCUGGGCUUAACCUGGGAAUUGCAGUCGAUACUACUCAGCUAGAGUAUGGGAGAGGGUAGUGGAAUUCCCGGAUGUAGCGGUGAAAUGACGUAAGAUAUCGGGAGGAACGAUCGAGUGGCGAAGGCGGCUACCUGGCCCA
rnacentral:rRNA from 1 species